ACCUGGGUGGCUUAGUCAGUUAAAGCAUCUGACUUUGUCUCAGGUCAUGAUCUCACAGUUCGUGAGUUCGAGUUCCGCUUUGGGUG
rnacentral:tRNA from 1 species